GCGUUGUUCGGAUUUACUGGGCGUAAAGGGCGCGUAGGCGGCUUGACAAGUCACUUGUGAAAUCUCCGGGCUUAACUCGGAACGGCCAAGUGAAACUGUCAUGCUAGAGUGCAGAAGGGGCAAUCGGAAUUCUUGGUGUAGCGGUGAAAUGCGUAGAUAUCAAGAGGAACACCUGAGGUGAAGACGGGUUGCUGGGCUGACACUGACGCUGAGGCGCGAAAGCCAGGGGAGCAAACGGG
rnacentral:rRNA from 1 species